rnacentral:rRNA from 1 species
CAAUAGCGUACAUUAAAGUUGUUGCAGUUAAAAAGCUCGUAGUUGGAUUUCGGGGCAGCCUGGCUGGUCCGCCGCAAGGCGAGUACUGGUCAGCCGCCCUUCCUCUCGAAAGCCCCGACUGCUCUUUAUUGCAGUGGUCGGGUAGUUCGGGACGUUUACUUUGAAAAAAUUAGAGUGUUCAAGGCAGGCCUACGCCUGAAUACAUUAGCAUGGAAUAAUGGAAGAGGACCUCGGUCCUAUUUUGUUGGUUUCCAGGACCGAAGUAAUGAUUAAGAGGGACAGUUGGGGGCAUUCGUAUUUAAUUGUCAGAGGUGAAAUUCUCGGAUUUAUGAAAGACGAACAACUGCGAAAGCAUUUGCCAAGGAUGUUUUCAUUAA